CUUGGAUCAUCUGACACACGUAAAUCGGUGAGUGGCAACGAUCUUUAAUACUUAAAACCCACAUCCAACUUUUUUUUAUCUUCAACAUCUAAACAUAUUCUGCUGUUACCACAUAGUUCCUUCCUCAGAUCGGUUCUUUUCGGUUUGACCGGCAGUUUUUUUUCUAGCGGUGUCAUAUGAAAUUGUCACCCAUAAUUUUGACCCUAGUAUCGAUCUAUUGCAUUUCAAUCUCUUUUAGGAUUAGGGCUAGUUAGGGUUAGAGUUAGGGUUAGGGAUCUUUUCGGUUUGAACGGCAGUUUUUUCUAGCGGUGUCAUAUGAAAUUGUCACCCAUAAUUACGACCCUAGUAUCGAUCUAUUGCAUUUCAAUCUGUUUUAGGGUUAGGGGUCGGGGCAAGGGUAUCUGUUUUUCUUCACAAAUGUAAAUAAACCCAAUCUGUUUCUUAAACGAGGGGCAUAUUCAUACGGCCCAGAAUGGUUUUUUUUUACCUCAAUCGACGUCAUUGAUUGGUUGAAAUUGCAGAAAUUGAAGAGAAAAAAAACAACAAAUAUCUUACAAACCAUAGAAUUUUCUCAAUAAAGCCAAGAGAAAAAGAUGUUUUAUAAACACAUUCUACCAGUAUACGAAGUUUAAAAGUGUUUAGUUACGUGGAAAUUAUUUCAAAAAACUGCCGGUCAAACCGAAAAGAUCCCCCAUUUCUGCUGUUACCACAUAGUUCCUUCCUUCUUCUGUGUGUCUCUUUCCCCCUGUGAUUUUCCUUUCUUCUUUCUCUGUGUCUCUGCCCUUCCUCUCUCUCACUUUCCUAUCUCUUUCUAAAUCUCCCUCUCCUCUCUCUCCGAGUUUCUCCUCUCCUCUCAGUCUCUCCUUUCUUUCUAUACUCUUUUACUCUCUUUUACUUGUUUCAGUCAUUUGACUGCGGCCAUGCUGGAGCACCGCCUUUAGUCGAGCAACUGGACCCCGGGACUUAUUUUUUGUAAGCCCAGUUUCUUUUGCCGAACCGCUAAGUGAUGGGGACAUAAACACACCAGCAUCGGUUGUCAAGCAAUGCUAGGGGGACAAACACAGAUACACAAACACACACGCACACAUAUAUAUAUAUAUACAUAUAUACGACAGGCUUCUUUCAGUUUCCGUCUACCAAAUCCACUCACAAGGCAUUGGUUGGCCCGGGGCCAUAGCAGAAGACACUUGCCCAAGGUGCCACGCAGUGGGACUGAACCCGGAACCAUGUGGUUGGUAAACAAGCUACUUACCACACAGCCACUCCUUCCUUUUUCUCUCUGUCUUUCUCACAGUAUCUCCCCAUCUCCCCGUAUCGUCUCCGCUCCCAACUACAAGACAACACAGGACCUUCUGACAGGGUUACUUGCUCCACAAAUCACAGCAGCUAAAUAUUCCUCCUAUUAAAUCUUACCAUCUUUAAAAACACACACACACACACACACACAUACGAAGGAGGGCUGAAAAGUCCAUGGCUUUAAGGCCGGUCGGAAGCCCAAUCUUCCGAGUUCUUUUACAGGGCUUAGAAAAACGGAAGGACCGCUACAAUAAGUUAAGUUAAGUUAAUUUUUUGGCUCAAAAAGCAAAAAGCAAAGCCAUGUAGGGGCACAUGGAGUUAUGUACAGGGUGGUGUUCCUGCAAAGAGUUCAGGCCACUUCUGGUCAAGAGAGACUUGGAACCGAGCGGUCGUCGGCAUCUUCGCUAUCUCGUCCAGCAGCUUAUUCCACGGAUCCGCAACCCGGACGGAGAUAUGUAGAUAGAUAGAUAGAUAGGUAGGUAGGUAGGUAGAUAGAUAGAUAGAUAGGUAGGUAGGUAGGUAUGUAGGUAGGUAGGUAGGUAGGUAGAUAGAUAGAUAGAUAGAUAGAUAGAUAGAUAGAUAGAUAGAUAGAUAGAAAGAUAGAUAGAUGGAAAGAUAGAUAGAUACAUACAUAGGAAGACAGACAGAUAGAUAGAUACAGACAUACAUACAUGCAUACAUACAUAGGUAAAUGUAUAUACAUAUCUAUAAACAUCAACAUAUGUUAGUUAGUUAGUUAAUUAAUUUUUUGGCUCAAAAAGCAAAAAGCAAGGCCAUGUAGGGGGACAUGGAGUUAUGUACAGAGUGGUGUUCAUGCAAAGAGUUCAGGCCACUUGUGGUCAAGGGAGACUUUGAACCGAGCAGUCGUCGGCAUCUUCACCAUCUCGUCCGGCAGCUUAUCCCACGGAUCCGCAACCCGGACGGAGAAAGCUCCUCUCCUUCGUGUGAAUCCAAGAGGGGAAUAUGUUGAAUAAAACCAUAACAAACUGAUCCUCUUGUAAUUCCUUUUCCUCAAAAGCCAGGCACUUUUCAGCAACUUGUAUAUAUGAAAUAGUAGGCGCAGGCGCGGCUGUGUGGUAAGAAGCUUGCUUCUUAACCACAUGGUCCCGAGUCAAGUUCAUUCCUACUGCAUGGCUCCUUGGACAAAUGUCUUCUAUAGCUUUGAGCUACCGAAAGCUUUGUGAAUAGAUGCGGAGCAGAGGGAAACUGAAAAGAAGCCCGUCGUAGGCAUGGCUCUAUGGUAAGAAAAUUGCUUCUUAUCAUACAGGUAUGCGAGUUGGCGAGCUGGCAGAAAUGUUAGCACACUGGGCGAAAUGCUUAGCGGUAUUUCGUCUGCCGUUACAUUCUGAGUUCAAAUACCACCGAGGUUGACUUUGCCUUUCAUCCUUUCGGGAUCAAUAAAUUAAGUACCAGUUACGCACUGGGGUCGAUGUAAUCAGCUUAAUCCGUUUGUCUGUCCUUGUUUGUCCCCUCUGUGUUUAGCCCCUUGUGGGUAGUAAAGAAAUAGGUAUUUCGUCUGCCGUUACGUUCUGAGUUCAAAUUCCACCGAGGUUGACUUUGCCUUUCAUCUUUUCGGGGUCAAUAAAUUAAGUACAAGUUUCGCACUGGGGUCGAUGUAAUCGACUUAAUCCGUCUGUCUGUCCUUGUUUGUCCCCUCUGUGUUUAGCCCCUUGUGGGUAGUAAAGAAAUAGGUAUUUCGUCUGCCGUUACGUACUGAGUUCAAAUUCCACCGAGGUCGACUUUGCCUUUCAUCUUUUCGGGGUUGAUUAAAUAAGUACCAGUUACACACUGGGGUCGAUGUAAUCGACUUAAUCCCUUUGUCUGUCCUUGUUUGUCCCCUCUGUGUUUAGCCUCUUGUGGGCAAUAAAGAAAUUAGAAGAUUGCUUCCCAAUCACAUGGUUCUGUUAUAGCCUCGGGCUGACCAAAGCCUUGUGAGUGGAUUUGGAAGACGGAAACUGAAAGAAGCCCAUCGUACAUACAUACAUACACACAUAUUUUAUUUUCUCCCCCUGUUUAUUCCUAUGUUCCCAACUAUGUUCCCAAAGAGCAUUCCUAUGUUCCCAACUAUGUUCCCAAAGAGCAUAGGCUCGAAGCAUAAAAGUCUUUCUCACUUCCUGCUAGCAUGGAAAAUGGACGUUAAAUGAUGGUGAUGAUGGUGAUGAUGAUGAUGAUGAUGAUGAUGAUGAUGAUGAUGAUGAUGAUUACGACAAUGAUGAUGAUGAUGAUGGUGAUGAUGAUGAUAAUGAUGUUGAUGAUGAGGAUGAUGAUGAUGAUGAUGAUGAUGAUGAUGAUGAUGAUGAUGAUGGUGAUGGUAGUGAUGAUGAUGAUGAUGAUGAUGAUGAUGAUGAUGAUGGUGAUGAUGGAGGUGAUGGUGAUGAUGAUGAUGAUGAUGGUGAUGAUGAUGAUAAUGAUGUUGAUGAUGAGGAUGAUGAAGAUGAUGAUGAUGAUGAUGAUGAUGAUGAUGAUGAUGGUGAUGGUGAUGAUGAUGAUGAUGAUGAUGAUGAUGAUGAUGAUGAUGGUGAUGAUGGAGGUGAUGGUGAUGAUGAUGGUGAUGGUGAUGAAGAUGAUGAUGAUGAGUACUUUCGCAGAAAGGACGAAAGACAAACUUGACCCCGCUGGGAUUUGAGCUCAGGGCACACACAAUCGAAAACCCAUUCUGUAAAGCACUUCAAUCUGCCGCACACUAUCGAUUCAGCCAAUCCGCCAGCCAACAAUAACAAUAACAACACUACUUAAGAUCUCUCUAAUCCGCAGACAUCCCGAAAUAGAUCGGACAUGUCCAGACUGCCACUGGUGGUGGUGGUGGUGGUGGUAGUGGUGAUGGUGGUGAUGGUGGAGGUGGUGGUGGUGGUGGUGGUGGUUUGUGGUGGUGGUGGUGGUGGUGGUGAUGAUGGUGGUGGGGCGAAAUGCGUAGCCGUAUUUCGUCUGCCGUUACGUUCUGAGUUCAAAUUCCGCCGAGGUCGACUUUGCCUUUCAUCCUUUCGGGGUCGAUAAAUUAAGUACCAGUUACGCACUGGGGUCGAUAUAAUCGACUUAAUACCUAUGUCUGUCCUUGUUUGUCCCCUCUGUGUUUAGCCCCUUGUGGGUAGUAAAGAAAUAGGUAUUUCGUCUGCCGUUACGUUCUGAGUUCAAAUUCCGCCGAGAUCGAAUUUGCCUUUCAUCCUUUCGGGGUCGAUAAAUUAAGUACCAGUUAUGCACUGGGGCCCAUGUAAUCGACUUAAUACCUAUGCCUGUCCUUGUUUAGCCCCUUGUGGGUAGUAAAGAAAUAGGUGGUGAUGAUGGGGGGGGCGGUGUUGUUGUUGUUGUUGUUGGUGGUGGUGGUGGUGGUGGUGGUUGUGGUGGUGAUGGUGGUGGUGAUGAUGGAGGUGGUGGUGGUUGUGGUAGUGAUGGUGGUUGUGGUGGUGGUGAUGAUGAUGGUGGUGAUGAUGGUGGUGGUGGUGAUGGUGGUGGUGGUGAUGAUGGUGGUGAUGGUGAUGAUGGUUGUGGUGGUGGUGCUGGUGCUGGUGGUUAGUUGGAUGGAGGCAUCGUAUGUAGGUCAAAAAUAACCGACCACAUAGGACUGUUGAUUCAAUCCGAGAUGACUUUGGGACCACACGACAACCAAAUACUCAGCUUCCUUCUCAUCCCUACUCCAAACUCCAUCCUUAAUUUAGAUCAGUGGUUCUCAACUGCGGCCUAUACGAUCCUUGGACACAGACACACACACAAUCAUAUUCACACACACUCAUGCACACAAACACACACACACACGUCUUGGCGUAUGUGCUGAUAUCUGUCGUCUCUGGUUGGAUUCUAAAGUUGGGUCGACAACAGACUUGAUAAAGUGGUUUGCAAGGAUUUCGAUAUUAGCGAUGGUGGGCAGGUAUUGUUGGUUUUGUAUUGAGUGGCCAUAUUCAUCAUCGUCAUCAUCAUCAUCAUCGUUUAGCGUCCGCUUUCCAUGCUAGCAUGGGUUGGACGGUUCAACUGGGGUCUAGGAAGCCAGAGGGCUGCACCAGGCUCCAGUCUGAUCUGGCAAUGUUUCUACAGCUAGAUGCCCUUCCUAAUGCUAACCACCCCAUGAGUGUAGUGGGUGCUUUUUACAUGCCAGGCGAGGCUGGCAAACGGCCACAGUCGGAUGGUGCUUUUUACGUGCCACCGGCACGAAGGCCCGUCCAAAUGUAGGAGGUAUUUCUGCCAUGGUUUCUAUGGCUGGAUGCCCUUCCUAACGCCAACCACUCCAUGAGUGUAGUGGGUGCUUUUUACAUGCCAGGCGAGGCUGGCAAACGGCCACAGUCGGAUGGUGCUUUUUACGUGCCACCGGCACGAAGGCCCGUCCAAAUGUAGGAGGUAUUUCUGCCAUGGUUUUUAUGGCUGGAUGCCCUUCCUAACGCCAACCACUCCAUGAGUGUAGUGGGUGCUUUUUACAUGCCAGGCGAGGCUGGCAAACGGCCACAGUCGGAUGGUGCUUUUUACGUGCCACCGGCACGCAGGCCCGUCCAAAUGUAGGAGGUAUUUCUGCCAUGGUUUCUAUGGCUGGAUGCCCUUCCUAACGCCAACCACUCCAUGAGUGUAGUGGGUGCUUUUUACGUGCCACUGGCAUGGAAGCCAGGCGAGGCUGGCAAACGGCCACGAUCGGAUGGUGCUUUUUACAUGCCACCAGCACGGAGGCCAGAUGAGACCGGCAACGACCACAAUCAGAUGGUGCUUUUUAUGUGCCUGUAUUGUUGUGGCUCUUUAGACUCUGGUCAAUCCUCACUGACCUAAGAUCAAAGACAUUUCAUUCAACUUUUCUUAGUAUCGUGUGCUUUCUAAGAGUAUUUGAAAAGUUGAAUGAAAUGUCUUUGAUCUUAGGUCAGUGAGGAUUGACCAGAGUCUAAAGAGCCACAACAAUACAGGCACAUAAAAAGCACCAUCCGAUCGUGGCCGUUUGCCAGCCUCGCCUGGCUUCCAUGCCAGUGGCACGUAAAAAGCACCCACUACACUCAUGGAGUGGUUGGCGUUAGGAAGGGCAUCCAGCCAUAGAAACCAUGGCAGAAAUACCUCCUACAUUUGGACGGGCCUUCGUGGGUUUGCUUAUCUAUUGUUGCUUGUCUUCGUAUUCAGGAUAGAAACAUACACACACUGUAAUGGGAGAAUCCUGAACACCCACUAAGUGACUGAAGUGGACUAUUAGGUGCAGGGGUGGCUGUGUGGUAAGUAGCUUGUUUACCAACCACAUGGUUCCGGGUUCAGUCCCACUGCAUGGCACCUUGGGCAAGUGUCUUCUACUAUAGCCUCGGGCCGCCCAAAGCCUUGUGAGUGGAUUUGGUAGACGGAAACUGAAAGAAGCCCGUCGUAUAUAUGUAUAUAUAUAUAUAUAUAGGUGCAGGGGUGGCUGUGUGGUAAGUAGCUUGUUUACCAACCACAUGGUUCCGGGUUCAGUCCCACUGCGAGGCACCUUGGGCAAGUGUCUUCUACUAUAGCCUCGGGCCGACCAAAGCCUUGUGAGUGGAUUUGGUAGACGGAAACUGAAAGAAGCCCGUCGUAUAUAUGUAUAUAUAUAUAUAUAUAGGUGCAGGGGUGGCUGUGUGGUAAGUAGCUUGUUUACCAACCACAUGGUUCCGGGUUCAGUCCCACUGCGAGGCACCUUGGGCAAGUGUCUUCUACUAUAGCCUCGGGCCGACCAAAGCCUUGUGAGUGGAUUUGGUAGACGGAAACUGAAAGAAGCCCGUCGUAUAUAUGUAUAUAUAUAUAUAUAUAGGUGCAGGGGUGGCUGUGUGGUAAGUAGCUUGUUUACCAACCACAUGGUUCCGGGUUCAGUCCCACUGCGAGGCACCUUGGGCAAGUGUCUUCUACUAUAGCCUCGGGCCGCCCAAAGCCUUGUGAGUGGAUUUGGUAGACGGAAACUGAAAGAAGCCCGUCGUAUAUAUGUAUAUAUAUAUAUAUAUAGGUGCAGGGGUGGCUGUGUGGUAAGUAGCUUGUUUACCAACCACAUGGUUCCGGGUUCAGUCCCACUGCGAGGCACCUUGGGCAAGUGUCUUCUACUAUAGCCUCGGGCCGACCAAAGCCUUGUGAGUGGAUUUGGUAGACGGAAAAUGAAAGAAGCCCGUCGUAUAUAUGUAUAUAUAUAUAUAUAUAUAUAUAUAUGCGUGUGUUUGUGUGUCUGUGUUUGUACCCCUAGCAUUGCUUGACAACCGAUGCUGGCAUGUUUAUGUCCCCGUAACUUAACGGUUUGGCAAAAAAGAGACCGAUAAAAUAAGUACUAGGCUUACAAACAAUAAGUCCUGGGAUCGAUUUGAUCGACUAAAGGCGGUACUCCAGCAUGGCCACAGUCACAUGACUGAAACAAGUAAAAAAUAUAUAUAUAUAUAUAAUCAAAAUAAGCAUCAAGGAUAUCCAAAGGUAGUGUAGUACAAUUGUUUCAUGUUACUUCAUUUUAUCAAACAUUGUAAGUAUUACAUCAGUUUUAAAAUGUCGAGCAAUCUUCAGCCACAUAUAGAAUUUUUUAAUUAAACGGACAAUGCACAUUCUUAUACUUAUUUCAUUUGCCAACAUUACAUAUAUAUAUGUAUAUAUAUAUAUAUAUAUAUAUAUAUAUAUAUAUUAGUAUUAUUAUUUCGCCUCGUAUUGCAUAUUCUGUAUAAUUUAUUAGUUAUUGUUGACCAUCGGUUUUUGCGGCCUCGUGUCUCGCUAAAUACAGAAUAGAUAUUUGAGUUUCUCCAUACAGGAUUUUUUCAAUGGCGGCCGAUUUUCGCGGGGUUCCACUAUUCCCUUCUCUCUCUCUCCCUCUUUUACGUUGUAUGCCCUCCCCCUCUUCCUUUCCCCCCUUCCAUUGCUAAGAGCAUUUUAAGCCAGCCCGUCAAGUUCAACCUUCGCAUAUUCCCGGUGCACCCGCCCUUGCCCACCCCACCACCAAUACCGGAUAUCUCUAUAUUUUUGCUCCAUCUAUACCGGAUGUCGAUUCUCCCACCACCAUUAUAGGUGUCUACUCUUCGAAUCCCCCUCUUCAAUACGCUAUUUCACCAUGCAUUACCCCUCUCGUGAUACCCUACAUUCUACUUGUCUAGAACCUGUCAUCGUUUCUCUGAACACCCCUCCCCACUGGUGCUCCCCUAUAUUUCUGCACCCCCCCCCAUAUAAAAAGCACCAUCCGAACGUGGCCGAUGCCAGCACCGCCCCGACUGGCUUCUGUGCAGGUGGCACAUAAAAAGCACCAACUGACUGUGGCCGAUGCCAGACCCCUCUGGCACCUGUGCAGGUGGCACGUAAAAAGCACCCACUACACUCGCGGAGUGGUUGGCGUUAGGAAGGGCAUCCAGCUGUAGAAACACUGCCAGACCAGACUGGAGCCUGGGGCAGCCCCUGGCUCCCCAGACCCCGGUCGAAACCGUCCAACCCGUGCUAGCAUGGAAAACGGAUGUUAAACGAUGAUGAUGAUGAUGAUGAUGAUGAUGUAUGUUUUGUUUUCUUUUUAGCCCCAGGUCAAUCAAACUUUCAAGCAGAAGGAUUCUAGCUGUUAUACCAAUCUGUAUUUUUGGAGGUAUGUAUUAUCAAAUGUUACCUUCCUUUUUAGAAGAGGGUAGUGUAUACAUUGAGUACGAUUUGGCUGCUGUUUUUGUGAUCUCAUGAGAGUUAUUUUGUUUGUGUGUAUGUGUAUGUAUGUAUGUAUAUAUGUGUGUGUAUGUGUGUAUACAUGUAUGCACAUAUAUAUAUAUAUAUAUAUAUUGUGAAGGCACGUGGCUUAGUGGUUAGGGCAUUCGGCUCAUGAUUGUAAGGUCCUGAGUUCAAUUCCCCGUGAUGCACUGUGUCCUUGAGCAAGAUACUUUAUUUCACAUUGCUCCAGUACACUGAGCUGGCAAAAAUGAGUAGUACCUGUAAUUACAAAGGGGCCAGCUUUGUGACAUUCUGUGUCAUGCUUAAUCUGACCCGAGAACUACGUUAAGGGUACACAUGUCUGUGGAGUGCUCAGCCACUUGCACGUUAAUUUCAUGAGCAGGCUGUUCCGUUGAUCGUAUCAGCUGGGACCCUCGUUGUCGUAACCGAUGGAGUGACACGAUAUGUGUCUAUAUAUAUAUAUACACCACAAAGUAAGUUAGGGGUUAUGGGUGUAACCCACGAUGGGAUAGUAUUUAUCCAAUAUACUGUUGGUAAAGUACCCAGAUUCUUAAUACAUAUUGCCACAGUCAAAUGACUGAAACAAGUAAAAGAGUAAAUUAUUAUUAUUAUUAUUAUUAUUAUUGAGUAAAGUGGUGAGCUGGCAGAAUCAUUAGCACAUUGGCCAAAAUGCUUACCAGCAUUUUGUCCAUCUGAGUUCAAAUUCUCCCAAGGUUGAUUUUACCGUUCAUCCUUUUGGGGUCGAUAAAUUAAGUAAAUCGACUAGUCCCUGCCCCUCAUAUUUCAGGUCUUGUUCCUAUCGUAGAAAGGAUUAUUAUUAUUGAGUGAGAGAGCAGUGCAUGCCAUCAAAGUGACACUGGGGUAAAAUAUACAAAGCUCAGUAUAUCCAUCAUGACUACCCAUCUGAUAAGGGUACACCAGACACAUGUAUCACAACCAUAUGUGCGCGACAUGGUGAUCUCGUAUCAAGAUAAACAGCUCAUGACUUUGCAGGUGGGGCCCAGUUAGAAUUUUCUUCAAGUUGCAGUGCAUGCCAUCAAAGUGACACUAGGGUAAAAUAUACAAAGCCCAGUAUACCCACCAUGACUACCCAUCUGAUAAGGGUACACCAGGCACAUGCAUCACAAUCAUGUACACGACAAGGUGAUCUCAUAUCAAGAUAAACAGCGUUUGACCUUGCAGGUGGGGCCCAGUUAGAAUUUUCUUCAGGUUGCAGUGCAUGCCAUCAAAGUGACACUGGGGUAAAAUAUACGAAGCCCAGUAUACCCACCAUGACUACCCGGUGAUAAGGGUACACCAAGUACAUGCAUCACAACCAUAUGUGUUUUGACAUGUGAUUUUAUGUUAGCACGCCGGGCGAAAUGCUUAGCGGUAUUUCGUCUGCCGUUACGUUCUGAGUUGACUUUGCCUUUCAUCCUUUUUUGGGUCGAUAAAUUAAGUACCAGUUACACACUGUGGUCGAUAUAAUCGACUUAAUACCUAUGUCUGGCCUUGUUUGUCCCCUCUGUGUUUAGCCCCUUGUGGGUAGUAAAGAAAUAGGUAUUUCGUCUGCCGUUACGUUCUGAGUUCAAAUUCCGCCGAGGUUGACUUUGCCUUUCAUCCUUUCAGGGUCAAUAAAUUAAGUACCAGUUACGCACUGGGGUCGAUGUAAUCGACUUAAUACCUAUGUCUGUCUUUGAUUGUCCCCUUUGCAUUUAGCUCCUUGUGGGCAAUAAAUAAAUUAGAAGAUUGCUUCCCAUCACAUGGUUCUGUUAUAGCCUCGGGCUGACCAAAGCCUUGUGAGUGGAUUUGAAAGACGGAAACUGAAAGAAGCCCAGUUGGAAUUCUCUCCUACAAAAUUCCAAGCCUUGUGCCUAUAUUAGAAAGAAUUACUCUAGCAGAAACAGUUUAUCGUGUUUUAUUUUAGUGUCAUCUAGAAUGUGGUUGCUCCUUUAACAAUAGAGGAAUGGGUUCAAAUCUCAUCGGGGAAUCAUGUGCUUUUUAUGUCCUUUUUUCAGUCCCACUGUGUGGCACCUUGGGCAAGUGUCUUCUACUAUAGCCUCGGGCCGACCAAAGCCUUGUGAGUGGAUUUGGUAGACGGAAACUGAAAGAAGCCCGUCGUAUAUAUGUAUAUAUAUAUAUGUGUGUGUGUUUGUGUGUCUGUGUUUGUCCCCCUAGCAUUGCUUGACAACCGAUGCUGGUGUGUUUACGUCCCCGUUACUUAGUAAUUCAGCAAAAGAGACCGAUAGAAUAAGUACUGGGCUUACAAAAGAAUAAGUCCCGGGGUCGAGUUGCUCGAUUAAAAGGCGGUGCUCCAGCAUGGCCGCGGUCAAAUGACUGAAACAAGUAAAAGAGUAAAAGAGUAAAUAUUGCUGACCGCUAAAUAACCCUGCUAUAUUGAUGAUGUUUAAACCCCUCAUUCUAAUUCUCUAUGUUUCAGGUACCAGAAUGUUCCCUGAUUGUUUCAGUGUCCCAGUGAACCUUAAAGGAGAUGACUAACAACUACAGGCAGAACAAAAUCCCUAUAGUAGUAUACUGAAUGCUACUGGAGCCCACUGAAUUCUACCCCCACUGUCCCCUAAGUAGUAGACUGUCCCUUACAGGGGCCCACUAAACCCUACACCAACUGUCCCCUAUAGAAAUCCCCAAUCUCUCACAGCAGCACACUGGCUUGUACAGGGGUCCACUGUCCCCUACGCGAACAUACUAGCCCAUGCAAGGGUACACUGCCCUCUACAUCAACUGUCCCUUAUAGCAACCCACGGUGACCUACAGAAGCUCACUGAGCCCUAUGCUCAUUGUCCCCCCUCCCCUUAUCCCUGUCCCUACCUUAUAAAAACUUUACUCCAAAUCCAUCCUUCAGGAACUCGGUGACCACCCCACCUCUCCACCUCUCCACCAGCCAACAUCUGCUGAACCUUAGAGGAACCCACUGACCACUACUAUAACUCUUACAAGAGGUUGCUGAGCCCCAUCUAUAAACCUAUGCACCUAGAAGAAUCCAUAAAGGACCAUAUAGUACAGAAGGUCACUAAACACUGUAGUAACUAACUGACCCCCACCCCAUACAGGAAACCAUUGAGUGUUACCGGAGUCUGGUGACCCCUAACAGUAAACACCAAGCACCGAGAGGAGAUGAUAGAAGGCCCUAUAAGGAUCUAUAGACAGUCGGACAGUGCUGGAGGUUACUGACUACUGCUGUAACUGACCCACUGACCCCUAAAUGUUACAGGUGGCUGCUGGCCCUUGCAGUAAACCACAGUCGCAUAGAGGAGUCCUACAGGGCAGGAGGUCCUUCAGGGGCCAUACAGUACGGAUGACCACUGAUCACCAACAACAGUAAACCACAAGUGCCAAGAGUAUUUUAUAGGAGGGGGGCCGCACAGUACAGGAACUGACCACCAGAUUCUGACCCCCAAGGAAUUCUUCCCAUCCAACUAUCAUAGCAGCAAAACUCCCUCUUUUCCCUUUUGUCAUAGAAUCAUUGAUAAUGGGAGAAAUGGUGGUGAAUGUGUUAACGUAUUAGUAGUAGUAUUAGUAGUAGUAGUAGUAGUAGCAGCAGCAGCAGCGCAGCAGCAACUGUGACAUUAGUAUUGUUGUAGUAGUGGCAGAAGUGGUCAUAGUGGUUACAAUAGUAGUUUCAGUGGUAGUGGUAGUGUGGUGGUAGUAACAAUAGUAGUAGUAGUAGUAGUAGUAGCAGCAGCUGUGGUGGUUACUGUAUCGGUCAUAGUAACAUUGUAGUUGAGUUGUAGUAGUGACUGCAGUGGUAGUGGUUGUAGUGGCAA
rnacentral:lncRNA from 1 species